rnacentral:lncRNA from 1 species
GUGGCUCUCAGCCACAGUGCUGUGUCUGAUCAGUCUGAGGAUGGUCUCUGGUUCCUGCAGGGCCUGGAAACUGCCCACGAUCUGAAGUCUGUUUCAUCAGUGCUGCAUGUUGAUGGCCAUAGAGUGCCCUGCACACAUCUGCUGUGAUGAUGCAUGAAUAUUUGUUUCUUGGGAGAAAAGAGAUUGGGGCCCACUAAUAGAGGUUAGAGAUGACAAGGAACUGAGCUGGGUGGACUCAUCAACAUAGAGAUGACCACCAAGCCAAGCAGGGUAGCUGAGGAAGACAGGGCCGGAAGGUACACUGAGGCUAAGUAGCUUGACUUAUUUCUUAUGCCUCAUCCUAGAGGGCAGAUACCCGAAUACGGAAGUGUGGCAUUUUAGUAUGGAUACAAACCAAUGUGCAAAUUAUGUUAUAGUUCUGGGAUGAGGGAAGUUUAGUAAAUGUGUUUACAGAUGCAAUGGCAAUGAGUUUUGAGAGCUCAGAAUGG